AUUGAACGCUGGCGGCAGGCCUAACACAUGCAAGUCGAGCGAGCGGCGGACGGGGGAGUAAUGUCUGGGAAACUGCCUGCUGGAGGGGGAUAACUCCUGGAAACGGUAUCUAAUACCCCAUACCAUCAGAUGUGCGCAGAUGGGAUUAGCUAGUAGGUGGGGUAACGGCUCACCCAGGCGACGAUCCCUAGCUGGUCUGAGAGGAUGACCCGCCACACUGGAACUGAGACACGGUCCAGACUCCUACGGGAGGCAGCAGUGGGGAAUAUUGCACAAUGGGCGCAAGCCUGAUGCAGCCAUGCCGCGUGUGUGAAGAAGGCCUUCGGGUUGUAAAGCACUUUCAGCGGGGAGGCGUUACCCGCAGAAGAAGCACCGGCUAACUCCGUGCCAGCAGCCGCGGUAAUUC
rnacentral:rRNA from 1 species